rfam:Glycine soja cultivar W05 scaffold4845_7, whole genome shotgun sequence.
AUUUUAUUGGAUGAUGACUGUCAUAUAUCAUGUUUUGAUUAAUGAAAACAACAAUGCAUUUCAAGAUGACACGUGACAUUCAUCAUCC